GAGUUUGAUCGUGGCUCAGGAUGAACGCUGGCGGCGUGCCUAACACAUGCAAAGUCGAACGGGGUUAUUUUGGAAAGUUCCUUCGGGGACUGGAAUCUAUAACCUAGUGGCGGACGGGUGAGUAACGCGUGAGCAAUCUGCCUUUAGGAGGGGGGAUAACAGUCGGAAACGGCUGCUAAUACCGCAUAAUACGUUUGGGAGGCAUCUCCCUAACGUCAAAGUUUUAUCGCCUUUUAGAUGAGCUCGCGUCUGAUUAGCUAGUUGGCGGGUAACGGCCACCAA
rnacentral:rRNA from 1 species